GAGUUUGAUCCUGGCUCAGAACGAACGCUGGCGGCAGGCUUAACACAUGCAAGUCGAACGCCCCGCAAGGGGAGUGGCAGACGGGUGAGUAACGCGUGGGAAUCUACCGUACCCUACGGAAUAACGCAUGGAAACGUGUGCUAAUACCGUAUACGCCCUUCGGGGGAAAGAUUUAUCGGGGUAUGAUGAGCCCGCGUUGGAUUAGCUAGUUGGUGGGGUAAAGGCCUACCAAGGCGACGAUCCAUAGCUGGUCUGAGAGGAUGAUCAGCCACAUUGGGACUGAGACACGGCCCAAACUCCUACGGGAGGCAGCAGUGGGGAAUAUUGGACAAUGGGCGCAAGCCUGAUCCAGCCAUGCCGCGUGAGUGAUGAAGGUCUUAGGAUCGUAAAGCUCUUUCACCGAUGAAGAUAAUGACGGUAGUCGGAGAAGAAGCCCCGGCUAACUUCGUGCCAGCAGCCGCGGUAAUACGAAGGGGGCUAGCGUUGUUCGGAAUUACUGGGCGUAAAGCGCACGUAGGCGGAUAUUUAAGUCAGGGGUGAAAUCCCGCAGCUCAACUGCGGAACUGCCUUUGAUACUGGGUAUCUCGAGUAUGGAAGAGGUGAGUGGAAUUCCGAGUGUAGAGGUGAAAUUCGUAGAUAUUCGGAGGAAC
rnacentral:rRNA from 1 species